AGAGCAAAGAAUGGAUGCCUUGGGUAAAAAAGAGGAUGAAGGACGCGUUUGGCUGCGAUAAGCUUUGGUGAGGUGCCAAAAACCGCUUGUAACCAGAGAUUUCCGAAUGGGGAAACCUUUCUACUAUAAGUAGAAGUAAUAUACCAAGACCCUGUGAAUUGAAAUAUCUUAGUAACAGGAGGAAAAGAAAUCGUAAGAGAUUCCCUUAGUAGUGACGAGCGAACGGGGAGUAGUCCAAACCAAAUCAGUGUAAGAUUCUAGUCGUUGCUGGUUUAGGGGUUGUGGGGUUAGUUAGGGAGUAGCUAGAAAUGCUCCAAAGUGACGAUAUUUAUUUAAAAGAAACGUCUGGGAAGUCGUACCGCAGAGGGUUAUAGUCCCGUAUUUGAAAAGUAAAUAUGCCUUUAAUUAAUUCCCAAGUAGUGUCGGACACGAGAAAUCCGGCAUGAAUCUGGGCCGACCACGGUCCAAGACUAAAUACUUUUUUACACCGAUAGCGCAUAGUACCGUGAGGGAACGGUGAAAAGAACCCCAGGAAGGGGAGUGAAAUAGAUCCUGAAAUUCUUUGCUUACAAUUGAGUGGGAGUUCCGACUUGUCGGGAUGACCACGUACCUAUUGACGAAUGGGCUAGCGAGUUAUUAAUACUAGCAAGGUUAAGACAGAUACAGUUGGAGCCGUAGCGAAAGCGAGUCUUAAAUGGGCGAUUUAGUUAGUAUUGAUAAACCCGAAGCGAUAUGAGCUAGGCAUGGGCAGGCUGAAGAGCCGCGAGAGCGGUUUGGAGGGCCGAACGGGUUGGUGCUGCAAAACCUUCCGAUGACCUGUGUUUAGGAGUGAAAAGCUCAUCGAAUAUCGCAAUAGCUGGUUCUCUCCGAAAUGCAUUUAGGUGCAGCCUGUAAAUUAGAUUCCAUAGAGGUAGAGCUCUGAUAAGGCUAGGGGUGUCGAGAGGCAUUACCAAACCUUGUUAAACUUCGAAUGCUAUGGGGAAUUUUACAGAGUGAGACUGCGGGAGUAAGUUUCGUAGUCAAAAGGAUAACAGUCCAGAUUUCUGAUUAAGGUCCCUAAAGUGUAGUUAAGUGGAAAAGGAGGUAUUUUUACCAAUACAUUCAGGAGGUUUGCUUAGAAGCAGCAAUCCUUUAAAGAAAGCGUAACAGCUCACUGAACAAGUGAAAGUGCGCCGAAGAUGUAACGGGGCUAAACUACAUACCGAAAUCGAAAGUCAUAUUUUAUAUGGCGGUAGGAGAGUGUUCUAUAUGGGAUGAAGCAUAACUGUGAGGUUGUGUGGACUUUAUAGAAGUAAGAAUGCUAGCAUGAGUAACGACGCCGAGUAAAAAUCUCGGCCGCCGAAACCCUAAGGAUUCCUACGCAACGUUUAUCGUCGUAGGGUUAGUCGAGACCUAAGAUUUUACUAGAAGUAGUAUGUCGAUGGACAGCAGGUUAAUAUUCCUGCACCUAUUUAUACAGUGAUGUGGCAACACAUUGGGAUGUGUGAGAGCUCACUAAGGAUGUGAGUCGAAAUAACAAGAUGAUCCCGAUUUAUCGGGAGGCAUAUGUAGGAAAAUCCGCAUAUGUUUCAAAUUGAGUUUGAUCGGAAAUGAUCUUCUCGGAGUGAUUAAUUCUCAUAGUUCUGGUGUCAAGAAAACCCACUAAACUUAUGUAUAAAUAGCUCGUACCCAGAUCAGACACUUGUAGGGUGGUAGAGAAUACCAAGGCGAUUGGGUUAACUAAUGGAUAAGGAACUUGGCAAAUUAGCGGGCGUACUUUAGAAAUAAGCCCUGCCUGCAGCAAUGUAGGCCGCAGCGAAUGACGUGGGGGGGACUGUUUAUCACAAACACAGCUCUCUGCUAACAUGCAAAUGGAUGUAUAGAGGGUGAUGCCUGUCCAAUGCCAGAAUGUUAAGCUUUCUUGUGCAAGCUCGAAAGUUAAGCACUGGUGAAUGACGGCCGUAACUAUGACGGUCCUAAGGUAGCGAAAUUCCUCGUCAGGUAAGUUCUGACGCGCAUGAACGGCAUAACCAUCCCCACACUGUCUUGUCCUUAGACCCAGUGAAAUUACAAUCCCGGUAAAAAUGCCGGGUAGUUGCAGUUAGACGGGAAGACCCCGUGAAGCUUUACUGUAAAUUGAUAUUGGGCUGUAGUAUGCGUUGCUCAGCAUAAGUGGGAGGCUUUGAGAGCUCAUCUUCGGGUGAGUUGGAGCCAAAACUGAGAUACCACUCAAAACAUAUCGCAUCUCUAAUCCCGAGAAUUCGGGAAACAGUGUCAGUUGGACAGUUUACCUGGGGCGGGUGCCUCCUAAAAUGUAACGGAGGCGUACAAAGGUUUGCUUAUUACGGAUGGAAACCGUGAUGGACGUGUAUUCGCACAAGCAAGCUUAACUGUGAGACUGACAGGUCGAACAGAUAGGAAACUAGGUGAAAGUGAUCCGGAUCUUCCAUGUGGAAGGGGAUCCGCUCAACGGAUAAAAGUUACUCCGGGGAUAACAGGCUAAUGGUAUCUAAGCGUUCAUAGCGACGAUACCGUUUGGCACCUCGAUGUCGGCUCGUCGCAUCCUGGGGCUGUAGAAGGUCCCAAGGGUUGGGUUGUUCACCCAUUAAAGCGGGACGCGAGCUGGGUUCAGAACGUCGUGAGACAGUUCGGUCCCUAUCUACUGUAACCGUAGGCAAUUUGAAAGAUCCUGACCCUAGUACGAGAGGACCGGGUUGGACAAGCCUCUGGUAGUACCAGUUGUCGCACCAGCGGCACGGCUGGAUAGCUAUGCUUGGAAAAGAUAACCACUGAAAGCAUCUAAGUGGGAAACUUGUCUUAAGAUUAGAUUGCCCUCUCUUUAU
rnacentral:rRNA from 1 species